GAUGAACGCUGGCGGCGUGCCUAAUACAUGCAAGUCGAGCGAAUGGAUUAAGAGCUUGCUCUUAUGAAGUUAGCGGCGGACGGGUGAGUAACACGUGGGUAACCUGCCCAUAAGACUGGGAUAACUCCGGGAAACCGGGGCGAAUACCGGAUAACAUUUUGAACCGCAUGGUUCGAAAUUGAAAGGCGGCUUCGGCUGUCACUUAUGGAUGGACCCGCGUCGCAUUAGCUAGUUGGUGAGGUAACGGCUCACCAAGGCAACGAUGCGUAGCCGACCUGAGAGGGUGAUCGGCCACACUGGUACUGAGACACGGCCCAGACUCCUACGGGAGGCAGCAGUAGGGAAUCUUCCGCAAUGGACGAAAGUCUGGCGGAGCAACGCCGCGUGAGUGAUGAAGGCUUUCGGGUCGUAAAACUCUGUUGUUAGGGAAGAACAAGUGCUAGUUGAAUAAGCUGGCACCUUGACGGUACCUAACCAGAAAGCCACGGCUAACUACGUGCCAGCAGCCGCAGUAA
rnacentral:rRNA from 1 species